GUUAUCGUUUAUUUGAUAGUACCUUACUACUUGGAUAACCGUGGUAAUUCUAGAGCUAAUACAUGCUAAAAACCCCGACUUCGGAAGGGGUGUAUUUAUUAGAUAAAAAACCAAUGCCCUUCGGGGCUCCUUGGUGAUUCAUAAUAACUUAACGAAUCGCAUGGCCUUGUGCCGGUGAUGGUUCAUUCAAAUUUCUGCCCUAUCAACUUUCAAUCGUAGCGUAGUGGGUUACGAUGGUUUCAACGGGUAACGGGGAAUUAGGGUUCUAUUCCGGAGAGGGAGCCUGAGAAACGGCUACCACAUCCAAGGAAGGCAGCAGGCGCGCAAAUUACCCAAUCCCGACACGGGGAGGUAGUGACAAUAAAUACUGAUACAGGGCUCUUUUGGGUCUUGUAAUUGGAAUGAGUACAAUUUAAAUCCCUUAACGAGGAACAAUUGGAGGGCAAGUCUGGUGCCAGCAGCCGCGGUAAUUCCAGCUCCAAUAGCGUAUAUUAAAGUUGUUGCAGUUAAAAAGCUCGUAGUUGAACCUUGG
rnacentral:rRNA from 1 species